UUGUAGAUGGGUUGCCUGUCGUAUAUAUGGAUGGAUAGUCAUGUGUGGGCUUUAGGUGAGCUAUGAAUGAGUGGAAUCUCGCUCAUAAAGAAACCUACAAACAUUG
rnacentral:snoRNA from 1 species